rnacentral:rRNA from 1 species
UACAGAGGGGGCAAGCGUUGUUCGGAAUUACUGGGCGUAAAGGGCGCGUAGGCGGCCUGUUAAGUCGAACGUGAAAUCCCUGGGCUCAACCCAGGAACUGCGUCCGAUACUGGCAGGCUUGAAUUCGGGAGAGGGAUGCGGAAUUCCAGGUGUAGCGGUGAAAUGCGUAGAUAUCUGGAGGAACACCGGUGGCGAAGGCGGAUCUCUGGGCCUUACCUGACGCUGAGGCGCGAAAGCUAGGGGAGCGAACAGG